UUCCCUUUUCUUCCAAAAACCCUUACCCAUGCCUCCAUCGUCUCCACGUUUGCCGCCUCUCCCCACUGCUCUCUAUCUACUCCAACCGUCGCAAUACGUUCUCAUCAUCAUAGACCGCCACAGUACGUUCGACAGUGACACAACUUUCCACGGCAGUUUGACGGUGACACAAUUCUCUCCACGACAGUUCAAAUGACGACGCAAUUCUCUUCAUAGCAGUUCGAUGUUGACGCGAUUCUCUCCACGUCGCCUCUACCUGCUACCAUCGAAAUGCUGCCGAUACCUACUACCAUCCGAAUGUCGCCGGAGGCCUCUGCUACCAUCCGAACGUCGUCGCUUCCUUGCUCGCCAGACUUGUCGCUGACUCGUCGUAAAUACUUCAUUCGUCGUUUCUUGAUUAAUGGAGUUCAUUAGAAUUUGAACGACCUUGUUGAAUGUUGCUUCUGAACCUCAUGUUUGAUUUGUUUGAAAGUUAGGUCGUUGCAGGUGUGAAGAGAUUUUUGACGGCGUUUGAUGUCUGGUGGAUGUUGGAGGAGGAAUGGGACUUGUUUGAGUAUUUUAGUAAAGGCUUGUCCAUGGAUUAAAAGUAUUAAUUUCGAUCUUCCUCAUGUUGCUUCCAAUAUGUUGAUAUUGUCCCAAAGGAAAUUGAUGGUUCAAGUUCAAGCUUUAGUCAACUUCUUGGAAUUGAAGGCCAAGGAAGAUCAAUAAACAAUUGUUCAUUGAUAUUAGUAGGGUUGUGUAUGGCCAAGAUUUUUAGCUACAACGAAGACGGUAGAUGCUCUAAGAACAGGACCAUCUGCAAUGAAGGCAAUGCAGAAAGCAACUUAUCCUAGUUUUGUCUUUGUGGUUUGUAACCUUUUAGAAUUUUGGUCACUGAAUAUUCCUAGUUCUAUUGUUGUUUUUUUACAUUGCUGGUUUAUAAAAAAAAAAAAAGCUUUACAACAUAACUGAACUUAUUUAGUAAUCUUAUUCAUCUAGUUUUUGGGGAGGGAUAUGCAAGUGUGUUGUUGUAACAUUGUAAUUGAGUUUUGAUUGGAAAUUGUAGGUAAAUGGGAUCAUACAUACAUUCAUAUGUCA